rnacentral:rRNA from 1 species
UGAGGAAUAUUGGUCAAUGGGCGGGAGCCUGACCAGCCAAGCCGCGUGAGGGAAGAAGGUACAGCGUAUCGUAAACCUCUUUUGUCAGGGAACAAAGGCGGGGACUAGUCCCCGGAUGAGGGUACCUGAAGAAAAAGCAUCGGCUAACUCCGUGCC